CCGUUUAUUUGAUUCAUGGCUUUCGCCUGGAAAUCUCAUACGGUAAUUUGGAGAAAAUUGGGAAAAUUCCUUGUAGGAGUUUUGGUUAUUCGUGCGUUUGCUCGAGUCUCUCCAUCCAUGGCCCAGUAUCCAAAUUGCUGUUUGGGGUGGCCAGGCGAUCACCCCAGUAGCUACUAACCCCU
rnacentral:precursor_RNA from 11 species